rnacentral:lncRNA from 10 species
CUCUAUUACCUGAGACACAACAAUAUGGAAAUUAGGCCAAUUAAUAAACCUACAAUGUUCUCUAAGUGUUUAAGUGAAAGGAAGGUCCCAUACAAACUAUCGUAACUGGUAACUUGAGGACAAUAUGUACAUAUGUCUUGUCAUUUAAUUUCCAUCAGAUAGGUGUCAUCAGCUUCAUAUUAGUCAAAAUAGAAUUCCCAAAGGUUAAUUAAUAAUUUUGUUGAAUAUUCUCACUUCUAAAUUAGAUAUAAUUAACUGUAUACAAGGUUCUGUUCUCAUUUUAUCUUCAAAUAACCCUUUGCAGGAGGUAUCAUUAUUGUCGUUUUAUAGAUGUGGAAAAUGUAACUCAUGUUUAAGGAACUUACCUGAAAUCACAAAGGGCUAUUAAGUGGUAAGGCUAAUAUUUGAUCCCAGGUUCCUUUUUUUUAAAGACAGAUUCUCCCUUUUUUUUUUUUUUCUUUUCUUUAAGACAGAGUCUCACUUGGCCACCCAGGCUGGAGAGCAGCGGCACAAUCUCAGCUCACUGCAACCUCUGCCUCCAAGGCUCAAGCACUUCUCCCACCCCGGCCUCUCCAGCAACUGGGAUUAUAGCAUUUAUGAAUAUCAUCUGUCUAAUCUGGAGAAACACGUCUUAUAGUUGGCCACUCUCAUGGUUCUUGUUGCCUUCUGUUGUUUGGAGGAAUCUAAGGAUUUAUGGAAGUUAUGUUGGUAUAUCAGAAGCUUGUUGGUAUAUAUUUGCUCUCUCUCCUCAAGUGGACUGAGUAUUAUGAGAAACUGGGAUAAAAUAUUUUUCAUUUUUUUAAUAUCUGCAUGUCUCAGCAAAGGACCUGAGUAAAUGAUCAGCCGAUCAGCCACUGUAUGGAAUUUUGCUAUUUACAUUGCUCUAUAUUUUUAUGAACACCAUUUUCGGUUUAUCUUUUCUUACAGCUAGUUUUAGUCCAGCAUUCCAGGCUGUUCUUCUCUUUUUAAUUUUCCACUUGACCAUCAGUGCUAUUCAUCAUCUUGCCAUUCUUUCCAGUACUGGCAGAUUAGAUAUGUGUGCCCUCUUAGUUUUUAUUCAAAUCAUUUGGAGAAAAUGUUGAAUAGGACUGAUCCUAUAG